CCCCUCUCAGGAUCACACCUGGAGAGUUUCCAGUACUCCACCAGUUUCGGCUACCUGAGGGAGAGUCAAGCAGAGGCAUACCCAUUCCAUUCCUAGCUUGGGCAGUGGCUAGCAAGUGGAAGGCAAUCUGCUACAAGU
rfam:Ornithorhynchus anatinus chromosome 5, whole genome shotgun sequence.